UCCCUGGUAGCUCAAAUGGUAAAGAAUCUGCCUGUAAUGUAGAAGAUCCAGGUUCAAUCCCUGAGUCAGGAA
rnacentral:tRNA from 1 species